rnacentral:lncRNA from 1 species
GAGAGGGGCAUGGGCAUGGGCAGAACAAUUCAGUCCGUAAGUGCAGCACUCCAGCACAUCUCAGGAAAAGGGACGAAGGGCAGGAUCGGCACCCCAAGCUCCGGGCCGGCAAUGCUGACGGCCAUCUUGGAAAGGGCCCCCAAAGUCCCUCCGUCUUUGGCUUGGCUUGUCCCAAGUUCCCCUGGAAAAUCUCAGAACACUGUACAUGGCUAGAUCUCUACAGCUUUGGGUCAAAGGAUCCCCAAAGCCUAGAUGAGCUCCAAGAGCUCCCAUCGUCUGUCAGAUUCAGGAGAAACGUCACCUUCUACAUGAAGUGUCUCCUAUGAAAAAGUGUUGGAAGACUUCAUCAAAUCAACCACCCAAGCACCCCUCCCCACUCAGCCUGGUCACUUCUAUCAGACAGACAUCCACUAACAUCCACCCAAACCCUACUGUGCAUCAAAGCUUCACUGAACCCUUUGCUAGGACUUCUUCACUUCAACUCGGUCCAAGAUGGAGCCACACAGAGGAAGAAGCAGAUAACUUGUCCUUCCCCCACCACAAACAAAAGCAAGAAGAACAGGAGGGAAGGCAAGGAAUUGCGUCCAGCAGAUUAACAGUCCCUUGAUGUUUGGACACUUCCCAGUAGCUCCAUGAGUUUUGAUGUUGAUUUGGGACUUUGAGUUCUCUUGUCUGUGUAUCCUCAGCCUCCCAUAAUGGCUACCUUUCUUCCUCUGAGGUGACCAUGACAAUCAGCAGCACUGAUAGCAGCUCUCCUUCUUCAAGGGGAACCAAUGUGCUAAUGAAGAUUGCCCAGUGGUGUCUGGCACAUCCGAUUCAAUGCAUUCUCCGACUCCCAUUAGAGAGAUAUUUCAAUAAAGAGUGCUUUGUGUGUUGAUUUUCCCUCGUG